rnacentral:misc_RNA from 1 species
AAAAUUCCUUUUCAUCUGCCACUGAAAAAUGAUUCAGGAUCCUUCCUUCGGUAUCGAUUUGCCUUCGCUAUAAAUUGUUACUUCAGCAAAAAAGCGGAGAUUCUAAAGAUUGGUUCUGUGGUAGCUGGUAGUGACUCCGCUUGUUUGUUCUUUUUCUUCUUUAUUGUUCUUGUUGAGUGGCUAUCUACCAAAUCAAAAACCCUAGGUGC